rnacentral:rRNA from 1 species
GAGUGAAAAACUCCCCCGCCGAAAGACCAAGGUUUCCUGUCCCAUGUUAAUCAGGGCAGGGUAAGUCGGCCCCUAAGGCGAGGCGGAAACGCGUAGUCGAUGGGAAACAGAUUAAUAUUUCUGUACUGCUAUAUAUUGCGAAGGAGGGACGGAGUAGGCUAGGUGAGCACGGCGUUGGUAGUCCGUGUGAAAGUAUGUAGGUGGGCGACUUAGGUAAAUCCGGGUUGCUGUUAACACUGAGAUACGAGACGAGACUCUACGGAGUUGAAGUCAUUGAUGCCAUGCUUCCAGGAAAAGCUUCUAAGCUUCAGAUAUAUAGCAACCGUACCCCAAACCGACACAGGUGGUUAGGUAGAGAAUACUAAGGCGCUUGAGAGAACUCGGGUGAAGGAACUAGGCAAAAUAGUACCGUAACUUCGGGAGAAGGUACGCUCUCUAAUGUGAAUGACUUGCUCAGUAAGCAUCGGAGAGUCGAAGUAACCAGGUGGCUGGAACUGUUUAUUAAAAACACAGCACUGUGCAAAAUCGAAAGAUGACGUAUACGGUGUGACGCCUGCCCGGUGCCGGAAGGUUAAUUGAUUGGGUUAUCUUC